rnacentral:rRNA from 1 species
GUGAGGAAUAUUGGUCAAUGGGCGGGAGCCUGAACCAGCCAAGUCGCGUGAAGGAAGAAGGAUCUAUGGUUCGUAAACUUCUUUUGCAGGGGAAUAAAGUGCAGGACGUGUCCUGUUUUGUAUGUACCCUGAGAAUAAGGAUCGGCUAACUCCGUGCCAGCAGCCGCGGUAAUACGGAGGAUCCGAGCGUUAUCCGGAUUUAUUGGGUGUAAAGGGUGCGUAGGUGGUUUGAUAAGUCAGCGGUGAAAGUUUGCAGCUUAACUGUAAAAAUGCCGUUGAAACUGUCGGACUUGAGUGUAAAUGAGGUAGGCGGAAUGCGUGGUGUAGCGGUGAAAUGCAUAGAUAUCACGCAGAACUCCGAUUGCGAAGGCAGCUUACUAAGCUACAACUGACACUGAAGCACGAAAGCGUGGGGAUCAAACAGGAUUAGAUACCCUAUAGUCC